rnacentral:rRNA from 1 species
AAAGUCGUAACAAGGUUUCCGUAGGUGAACCUGCGGAAGGAUCAUUAACGAAAAUGAAAUUAGAUUUCAAGCGACGUCUUCGACUUAUGUUGGGGACCGAGCCGUGUAACUGUUAUAGUCCGGUCGCGUUGCUUCCUGAUAGCGGGAGUGAUAAUGCAGCACGCAAGUGCUGGCGCGGCCGCUUCUUUUUGAACACAAUUUUUUGGUAGCAUUGAGGUCGAAUAACACGAGAGAUCUCUUAGCGGUGGAUCACUCGGCUCGAGCGUCGAUGAAGGACGGAGCUAGCUCCGAGAAGUAAUGUGAAUUGCAGGACACAUUGAGCAUCGAUAAUCUGAACGCGUAUUGCGGCCUCGGGUAAUCCUGGGGCCACGUCCGUCUCAGGGUCUUUAACACACCGAUCCUUUCAACUUUUUGAAAGUUGAAAGUGCCUGCGAUUCGUUUCUUUAUUAGAAGCGUAUCGUCAAAGACAGCUGGUCUGGCGAUUUCACAGCUGAAGCGUGAGCAGCCUGCUGGCCUCGGGUGAGGUAGCAACGACGGUAGGUGCUAAUGCUUUUAGUAAAAUCUAAAGACCGACGUACAAAGCGCAUGUAGUAAUACAUCAACUUUGACCUGAGAUCGGGCGGGACGACCCGCUGAACUAAAGCAUAUCAAUAAGCGGAGGAAAUCACUA